rnacentral:rRNA from 1 species
UGGGGAAUAUUGCACAAUGGGCGCACGCCUGAUGCAGCCAUGCCGCGUGUAUGAAGAAGGCCUUCGGGUUGAAAAGUACUUUCAGUCGGGAGGAAGGUGUCAAGGUUAAUAACCUUGGCAAUUGACGUUACCGACAGAAGAAGCACCGGCUAACUCCGUGCCAGCAGCCGCGGUAAUACGGAGGGUGCAAGCGUUAAUCGGAAUUACUGGGCGUAAAGCGCACGCAGGCGGUUGAUUGAGUCAGAUGUGAAAUCCCCGGGCUUAACCCGGGAAUUGCAUCUGAUACUGGUCAGCUAGAGUCUUGUAGAGGGGGGUAGAAGUCCAUGUGGAGCGGGGAAAAGCGGAGAGGUGUGGGGGAAUACCGGUGGCGGAGGCGGCCCCCUGGAGAAAGACUGACGCUCAGGUGCGAAAGCGUGGGGAGCAAACAGG